AUACUUACCUGGCACUGGAGAUACGGUAAUCACAAAGGCGGUUCUCCCAGGGCGAUGCUCACCAUUGCACUCCGGUGGCGCUGACCCCUGCGAUUAACCCAAUUUUUUUAAAGACUGCCGCGAUGGCAGUCCAGUCCAGUGCUCUAACCACUGGA